rnacentral:rRNA from 1 species
UUGGAGGGCAAGUCUGGUGCCAGCAGCCGCGGUAAUUCCAGCUCCAAUAGCGUAUAUUAAAGUUGUUGCAGUUAAAAAGCUCGUAGUUGAACUUCGGGGUCUACCCAUUGGUCAGGCUUAAUUGUCUGCACUGGUGAGAUGGAUCUCUACCUUCUGAGGAACUUUCAUGCCAUUUAUUUGGUGUGAUGGGAAAUCAGGACUGUUACUUUGAAAAAAUUAGAGUGUUUAAAGCAGACUAUCGUCUGAAUACAUUAGCAUGGAAUAAUGAAAUAGGACGGACUGAUUCUAUUUCGUUGGUUUCUAGGAUCACCGUAAUGAUUAAUAGGGAUAGUUGGGGGCAUUAGUAUUCAAUUGUCAGAGGUGAAAUUCUUGGAUUUAUUGAAGACUAACUACUGCGAAAGCAUUUGCCAAGGAUGUUUUCAUUAAUCAAGAACGAAAGUUAGGGGAUCGAAGACGAUCAGAUACCGUCGUAGUCUUAACCAUAAACUAUGCCGACUAGGGAUCGGACGAAGUUAAUUUUAUAAUGACGCGUUCGGCGCCUUCCGGGAAAC